GUAGGUGGCAAGCGUUGUCCGGAAUUAUUGGGCGUAAGGCGCGCGCAGGCGGUCCUUUAAGUCUGAUGUGAAAGCCCACGGGCUCAACCGUGGAGGGUCAUUGGAAACUGGGGGACUUGAGUACAGAAGAGGAAAGCGGAAUUCCACGUGUAGCGGUGAAAUGCGUAGAGAUGUGGAGGAACACCAGUGGCGAAGGCGGCUUUCUGGUCUGUAACUGACGCUGAGGCGCGAAAGCGUGGGGAGCAAACAGGAUUAGAUACCCUGGUAGUCCACGCCGUAAACGAUGAGUGCUAAGUGUUAGGGGGUUUCCGCCCCUUAGUGCUGCAGCUAACGCAUUAAGCACUCCGCCUGGGGAGUACGGCCGCAAAGGCUG
rnacentral:rRNA from 1 species